UCUGCUAGGGGUGCCUAAAGGCUGAGAAAUGUAUAUCGUUAACCCUUGUACCUGAUCUGGUUAAUACCAGCGUAGGAAAGCAAUUAUAAU
rnacentral:ncRNA from 1 species